GAAACCCUAGGAAGUAAAAGACCAGAUAGGGCUGACAGCCAUUUCAAAGAAACUGCUUUUACUUUGUUUUAUAUAUUGUAAUUCCACAUAAGAUUUCAUUUGGAAUAAAAAUGAUUUCUGGGGCUAAAUAAUGUAUAAUUUUGAAAAAAUUGUAAAUGAAAAAAUUGUUUUAUUUUGUUUUUUAACUUAAAACUGAUUUCUUUUGUAAGUAUUCUAAGCACAUUAGCAUGCUAUCAAGUUUAUAACCUUGGAAGUAGAAAUUUAGAACUCAGCACUAUGUAGUUGAAGCCAUGGAACAUCAAUACAAUCGCCCAGCAAUAAUAUGUGUGAGCAUAGCGUGAGAAGAGAAACAGGCCAAGGAGUAGGCAGGAGAAGAGAAGCCUGGAAAGAAGACAGAAAGAAGCUGUCAGAGAGAAAUGUUAUGUAGGAUCUGGGGCUGCAAGUUCUGCAUCAAGAUAAGAGAAGUGAGAUGUAAAUAAAGAUUCAUGGACCUUACUUCCUGCAGCAUUCCUGGACCAAGGUCGGUGCAACUAGAUGCAAAUUAAUUGUCAAGACCAGGCCAGCAGAGGGCCACUGGGACCCGGAGCUAUGUACACCAGCUGGAGUCAGAUCAGGUAACCUUCUGAGGGGCAGGGUGGAGGCCAGGCCGGAAGUGCAAAGCCGCAGACCUCAGAUCUCCUUAAGGUAAGGCAACCAGAGAAAGAAUCCAAGAAUAAUCAUCAGGAAGAGAAGUUGCCAAGGAGACCGUGAAGGGACAAGCUGGGGGACAAAAGCCAAUUCAGUGGGGAUGGCCAGGGAACAAGUGGAAAGAAUCUGUGUCCUUGACAACAUUGAGCCACUGAAUUAACCAACUCCAAAACUGCCCCACCUCUGGACUUCUUGUUAUGUAAAAUAAUAAAUUUCUGUACUAUUAAAAACAAGCGGCAAC
rnacentral:lncRNA from 1 species